rnacentral:tmRNA from 1 species
GGGGUUGUACUGGUUUCGACGGGGGUUUUGAAGUUCGAGGAGCCAUUCGCAGACCGUGGCUGCGUAAUAAAACGGAACUAAACAUAAACGCCAACAACAACGUUGCGUUAGCUGCUUAAUUGCAGCUUGUCGGCCCGGAGCCACUCGACACUUCGGUAAACCGGCAUCAUGAAGUCGGGGAACUGCCGGGCCUAAGCUUUGCGGGAGAGACGGUACCGAUGAAGCUACUAAGGCCCUGAGCCCGUUUGCGGGCGCCCGGCGGAGGGAAUGUUAAAACGCAAACUAUGAUGGUAGUGCUUUGGAGGGAUAGGCUUUCGGACAGGGGUUCGAUUCCCCUCAGCUCCAUAA